ensembl:lncRNA
CGAGGAUGGGAUGGACGCGUGAUCUGGACUCUGACGGACGGACAGGAGGCCAUAUAGUAUAGGUGAUUCCUCCCUGAGGGUGAGAAGCUGCCGUCCCGACGAGACCCGGAUUGCCGAUCCAUCCAGUUCAAGAAAAAGAAACGACGAACACGCGGGGAGUUUGAGUAAGAAUCAAUUGGAGCAGUUGGAAUUGCAACUGAGGGGGAAGGAGAAGAACGAUGCAGCUCAGCAUGCAGGCCUGUCGAGAAGAAAGCAGAAAAAGAAUGUGGUAUGUAAGGCAGAUUGGGAAGCUUUCAAGAUGUGGAAGUAUGAGUCGGAGAGAAGGGAGAGACAGAGGUUGGUAGCAUUUAAUUCAUUAAAGACCAAAUAUCCUACAAAAAGUUCUGAAACGUGUACCCCUUCUAACCCAAAAACACUUUAUCCUUGUUUUUAUGAGUUCCUGAGGAGAUUGGUGGACACGGAUCUGGACUCCCCCCCUCCCCUCACUGCUCCUCCAGCUCCCGCCUUCAUGAGCCCGCAGUCUCCACGGCAGGAAGCAGCACAAACAACCUUUCCUCGGCUUGACAACAGCCCACCAGGAGGGAAGCCAGAUUCAACCUCCAACACCAGCCAGACGACCUUUUCACCUACUGUGACCCGCUCGCAGGCUCAACAAAGACGGGUCUUGCUCAGAGAAGGGAAAAAGACGUUGUUCGAUCCUGCAGCUUCUUUUCCAGUGGAGGGGGCGCAAGGGCCGAUGCUGGUUCUCAGACCCUGGUCAGAUACCGAUGUGACCAAGGCAAUGAGCCACGUCUGCAGUCCCAAGGACAAUCUUGCUAAGUGGGAGACUGAUUUUCAGCAAUUUGUCAGAAAAUACCAUCCUAGCAUGUCAGAGCUGCGGCGUCUGAUGUGCAGACUUCUGACACAUGACUAUCACAAGGUUCAGAGUGUGUUCAACACCACAAGAAUGGCUGCUCGCCUUAAAGAUCCUGAUUGUGAGCACGGCACAGAUAUGGACAUUAGAAGUGCUGUAGAUGCUCUCAUUGUGUUGGUAAAAGAACAAUUUCCUCUGAGACUGAACCUCCCCACCGUCACCUCUAUGACACAAGAGCCACAAGAAACAUGCAGCUCAUUCCUGGGACGCCUGACGACAGCUUUUGACACCCACAGUGGCCUUAAGCGACCUGAUCCAAUGGGGGCACAGCCCCUAAUGCCAUAUGAAGUCCAUCUGAAAGAACAUUUUAUAAGCAGAAUGAGAC